AGCUCAAAUUUGAAAGCUGGUACCUUCGGUGCCCGCGUUGUAAUCUCGAGACGCGUUUUCCGCGCGGCUCUAUGGACAAGUUCCUUGGAACAGGACAUCGUAGAGGGUGAAAAUCCCGUACUUGCCAUGGAUGCACCGUGCUUUGUGAUACGUGCUCAAAGAGUCGAGUUGUUUGGGAUUGCAGCUCAAAAUGGGUGGUAGACUCCAUCUAAAGCUAAAUAUCGGGGAGAGACCGAUAGCGAACAAGUACCGUGAGGGAAAGAUGAAAAGCACUUUGGAAAGAGAGUUAAAAGUACGUGAAAUUGUCGAAAGGGAAGCGCUUGAAGUCAGCCAUGCCGCUCAAGACUCAGCCUGGCUUUUGCUUGGUGUAUUUCCUGGGUAGCAAGUCAGCAUUGGUUUGGACCGUCGGAAAAGCAUGGCAGGAAUGUGACGCCCUCGGGCGUGUUAUAGCCUGCCAUUGGAUACGCCGGUCUAGACCAAGGAACGCAGUGCGCCUUACGGCGGGUCUUCGGACACCUUCGCGC
rnacentral:rRNA from 1 species